rnacentral:rRNA from 1 species
UACGGCCGGUGCUAGCGCUGUUCGGAAUUACUGGGCGUAAAGAGCGCGUAGGCGGCUUACCAAGUUGGGGGUGAAAUCCCGGAGCUCAACUCCGGAACUGCCUUCAAAACUGGUAGGCUCGAGUCCGGAAGAGGGGCGUGGAAUUCCCAGUGUAGAGGUGAAAUUCGUAGAUAUUGGGAAGAACACCGGUGGCGAAGGCGGCGCCCUGGUCCGGUACUGACGCUGAGGCGCGAAAGCGUGGGGAGCAAACAGG